GCUUUUGGGAUUUGCCAAAGCAACCAUGAGUCCCCUGGGCAGCCAGAGGGGACAGGGGACAUUUUGUCUCUGGAUGGGCAGUCACCUGGUGUGCAGGAUGGGGCCAUCUCUGAGAUCAUGUUUCUGCUCCAACAGGUCUGUAAAGAUGUGUGUUUGCCAAGAUGCCUUCUGAUAGAAGAGUUGAAUGGACAACUCUUGCAGAGGAUGUAGAAUCAUUUCCCAGCAUCCACAUGGCAGCUUACAACCAUCUGUAGUUCCAGUUCCAGAAGUUCUGACAUCUUCUUCUAGCCUCUAGAAAGAAGAAGAAUGAAUAAUUAAAAAUGAAGAUAUGAAUUAGCACAUGCAGAAGCUCCACAGUGCUGUACAUGUUCUAUGAUGACAUCUGGAGACUCUCCAGCAACUGAGAAGCUUAUCUGGUUUAAAGAAGAAAAGGACUCAGAAAAGCUGCAUGUUGCAGUGUUAGGUGAGAGACUGGACAAUUUUGGCUCUCAAAUAUGUGACUUGUUGCAAGUGAAUGCAUUAGCUAGAACCAGAGCCAUACAGUUCCUUUCUAUGUUUAUGGUAUCUUUUUGAAAUCAGUGUCUUAGAUUACCUUUUUGCCAUGCCACAAUGGUCACCACCACUACCACAAAAAAAAAUUAACUAAAAAGAAAAGGAAAAUUGAAACUCCCUUUGAUGUCCUACAAGGCAAAAAAACAGUUUAUCUUUAUCUUGUAGAAACAGAUAAGACACAAACUUUCACAGAGAACAAUAUGUCACUGGACAUUUGAGGUCGUGAACUGGAGAGGAAAGUAUUGUAUUCUGAAUUGACAAUAUUUUUAUAAAUUUAUAAACAAGUGCUCAUAAUAUUUGUUAUGUUUAGUGCCUAUAAUAUUCUUCAUAUGCACAUACAAAUACAGCUUCUAACUCCUGAAAUAAGAUAAUUUCUAAAAGAAACCAUCUACAAAUACAACACACAUAAAAUAAUAGAUGUAUAAUUAAAAUAUCUAAAAUUACUGGAAAUAGAUUAUUCUUUUUUAACAUAUAAUCUUUUUUGAUGAAUUUAUAGACAGUCAUUAGUUUUUAAGCUGGAAAGUAAGAUUUACAUUUUCAUUUCUUUUGUUAAUUUGAAUUCUAAAGAUUAAGAAUGACUUAAAAGAAGAAACAGGUAGAUGGAAUUACUAAUCACCUUCAUGAUGAAAAAGAUAUUUUAAGUUUCCAGGAAUUAAUACUAAGACAAUUUGUGUAUUUGAAAUAAAUUUACAUAAAAUAAUAUAACAAAUCCCUCUGCAGCACUUGUUCUAACAACAGAUUGAUCAAGUUAUAACCGAGCCACUGAGUAAAGUACAUUUAUGGCAGAAUAAAUUGAGCAUUUUAAUUGCCUAUAGCUAAUUUGUUUUAAUGAGUCAAACCAAUAUUUUAAUUAAACAACCUUAAGUAACAUGAUAAAACUGAACUCAAUAAAAGUUAAUUACAAAAAUAAUGUGAUAAAAUUAAAGUGUCUGUAUUAAAUUAGAAAAUGUCCAGAAGAGAUAUAUGGCUUUAUAGUUACAAAGAAAAUUUGAUGUUGUUAAUGGCAUUAUGGUACUUUCAAAACCAGAAGACAUUAAAGACAAAAUAAAAUCUUACAAGUACAAAAUGAGCAAAAAGAAUCUAAGAUUCUCCAUAAAUCCCAAUAAGACGUCAAAGAUUCACAUGUGAAAGUAUAAGAGAGUUGUACAAAUUUGAUAUAAAAAACUGCAAAUCUUUGGUGGUUUUCCUUAGUUUAUUUGUAAUGAGUCCCAAGAGACAUGACAUUCUAGUGCAUAGCAGUGAUAUUUGAACAAAAAAAUGUAGAAUUAGAAAAUAAAUGUUUCAAACUCUCCUUGAGUACCAAAUAAAAUGUGCAGUAAUAAUUGUUAAUUAUAUAUGCACAUAUAUAUAUACAUACACACACAUAUAUAUAUAUAUAUAUAAUCUAUUGUGCCUUUUU